CUCAAACAAUGGCCACAGAUCUCCCCCGUUCCUCCCAUCGGAGAGGUGGGGUCUAUGACCUCUCACUUUGAAUCCGGGCAGGCCCUGGGUCUGCUUUGACAAACAAUGCGGUAGAAGUGAUGCUGUGUCAAUUUCUGCAUCAGGCCUGAAGAUGCUAGAAGCUUCCGCUUCCAUCACUUGGCACAGUGUGUUUGGGAGGCCUGGGCCACCACGUGAGGAGUCUGAUUAGCCCAAGAUGGUCAUGCUGGAGUGGGCACAUCCAAAUGCUCUAGUGGACAUCCCAUCUAGGUUCAGCCUUUCCGUCAUUCCAGGCGAGGUCCAAGACGUGUGAAUGAAGCCAUCUGAGACCCUCCAGGCCAGCUGAAUAAAAUUGAGUGGCUUCAGCCAACACCACGUGGAGCAAAAUCACCACGCAGACAAACCCUGCCCAAGUACCUGACCCACCAGACCAUGAGAUACAAGAAGAUGGCCAGGGAGCAGUAGGUAACCAUCACAACGACCUUCGGAGGAACUUUCUCCGUGGCCUCGAGUUCUCAAAGGAGCAGCUGGAGGCCAGGUGUGGAGAAGCAGAUGUACGUAUACAAGACCUACUCCCUGGGAGACAGUGUGGCUAGCAGAAAGAACCCAUGCCUUCAGAUCAAAAGCUGUAAACUCAAGGUACGGGUUUGCCACAUGGCCCCGCAACGUCCUGGCCGAGGCAGCCCACGACCUUUCUCAGCCUCAAUUUUUCUCAUUGGGAAGACAAGAGAACCCAACAGGGCCAGAGCGGGGAGGAGGGAAGCCAGGAGUGGACUGGGUCCCCCCAGCUCCUACUUCCAACACACGGUGGGAUGGACAAGAUAACCUGUCCCAGAGCCAGGUGCACCUCAGAUCAGCUCGGGCAAAAGACCCAACAAGUAUAACAUCCCGUGAUGGAAACCGCAACUAUCCCUCCAGGAACAACCAGUGCCUUGGAGUAACAGCUCUGGGGGCAGGACCACCCAGACCAGUUUGAACUCAAACCCCAACUCACGCCUGCGCAGAUGGCCUGUGGCGUGACCCGUGGAGUGCCCAAUAGUUACCCUUACCUCAUUAUAAUACUAAAGUCUCUGCCCAAGGAGGAGCCCAAGCCUCAUUUACAUAACAUACAAUGCGCUUAAAGGCAUGUUUUCUUAAGGUGCAUGCGCAACCUCCUGCCCACCUCUACACAGGCUUCCCCUAUCUAAAAAUCCAUCCUAACCCUAAACAGAAAGAAGCCAUCUACACUGGUGCCUGGAGUGGUUGGACUCUGGAAGUUAUUCCCCGUGAUCUCCUUAUUUGCUGCACGCAAACUUUCCUCUGUGCGAUGGCUUACCUGGUCCCGUUUCCAUCUGUGACUCACCCAGGAGCCAACUCACGUCAGUUGGAUCACAAUCCUGGGCGUCAGAGAAGCCCUGGGAAGGAGGGAAGAGGCGCCCGGCACAGGACAAGGUGCCAGGAGCUGGUCCAGGACUGUCUGGGACUCCGGCCGGCAGCUGGAGGCAGGAGUGGCAUGGAGCAGAUAAAAGCCAUCCUGGACAGCGCCUGCGGCAAGCCCUGGCUGGGGGCCUCUGGGAAGCAGAGGCUGAGGAGUUGGGAAUGCAAAAGCCUUACUGGGAAAGUGACACUUGAGGAGGAAAAAGAGAGAAGGCCGAUGGGGCAGGGGAGUCUGCUUUUGGAUCUCGAGCCCGCAAGGAUCCAGUUUCCUAACAACCAUCUGAGAUUCUGUGCUGGAAGACACGUAGCAGAGUCUCCUUGACCUGAAUCAGACGCAAGGGUGCAAAUUCCUAGCCUAGAAUUCUGCCAUCUUUGGCCAGGAAGGACUCUGAUUUGUCCCGGACUCCAAGGUGUCCUCAAUUUCACUAUCCUCCAUCAUCCUCUGGGAUGGGAUCCUCAAGUUUUUGCUGGGUACGUGGACUCCUGGAAGAACAUCUAUAUUCCCAUCCUCUCUGCAAGUAGGUGUGGCCAUUUGACUAAAUUCCGGCCAAUGGGACACAAGCUACAGCAGCCUAGACAACUCUUUGGAAGUGUCCUUAAAGGGAGGAGUGCCCUUCUCUUUCUUGUUUCCUCUACUUUGCUGGCAGGAAUGUGGAUGAGAUGGCUGGAGCUCUAGCAGCCAUACUGAAUCACACCGAAGAUACUAUGUGCUGAGGAGGGUGAAGCCACAAGAUAAAGGGAUGUGCCUCAGAUUCAUACAGUGCUGCCAUACUAGCCCUGGGCUGCCUACUUCUGCCUAUUGAUCAUGAGGCAGAAACGAACUUCUGUCUUGCUCAAGUGACCAUUAUUUGAGGUUUUCUGUAAUUAUUCGUGUAUGGAUCUAUCUCCAUACUGCUGGGGGCUCAGGGAGGGCAGGGAGCUGAUGAGACUUACUUGCUUUUGUGGCUUUGCAUCCAGUAGGGAGACUGUCAAAGAGUAGGCAUUUAGUGGUUGUCGAAUAAAUACACGAAUGACAUCC